rnacentral:rRNA from 1 species
UACAGAGGGUGCGAGCGUUAAUCGGAAUUACUGGGCGUAAAGGGCGCGUAGGCGGUUUAUCAAGUGAGAUGUGAAAUCCCCGGGCUUAACCUGGGAACUGCAUCUUAAACUGGUAAGCUGGAGUACUGUAGAGGACAGUGGAAUUUCCGGUGUAGCGGUGAAAUGCGUAGAGAUCGGAAGGGACAUCAGUGGCGAAAGCGGCACCCUAGCGUUAGCCUGACGCUCAUGUGCGAAAGCGUGGGGAGCGAACGGG